GACGAACGCUGGCGGCGUGCUUAACACAUGCAAGUCGAACGGAAAGGCCCUGCUUUUGUGGGGUGCUCGAGUGGCGAACGGGUGAGUAACACGUGAGUAACCUGCCCUUGACUUUGGGAUAACUUCAGGAAACUGGGGCUAAUACCGGAUAGGAGCUCCUGCUGCAUGGUGGGGGUUGGAAAGUUUCGGCGGUUGGGGAUGGACUCGCGGCUUAGCAGCUUGUUGGUGGGGUAGUGGCUUACCAAGGCUUUGACGGGUAGCCGGCCUGAGAGGGUGACCGGACACAUUGGGCAUGAGAUACGGCCCAGACUCCUACGGGAGGCAGCAGUGGGGAAUAGUGCACAAUGGGCGGAAGCCUGAUGCAGCAACGCCGCGUGCGGGAUGACGGCCUUCGGGUUGUAAACCGCUUUCGCCUGGGACGAAGCGUGAGUGACGGUAAUGGGUAAAGAAGCACCGGCUAACUACGUG
rnacentral:rRNA from 1 species